CCCUUAGAUGUCCUGGGCCGCACGCGCGUUACACUGGUGCAUUCAACGAGCUUAUAACCUUGGCCGAGAGGCCUGGGCAAUCUUGUUAACGUGCAUCGUGAUUGGGAUAGAUUAUUGAAAUUAUUAAUCUUGAACGAGGAAUUCCUAGUAAACGCAGAUCAUCAAUCUGCAUUGAUUACGUCCCUGCCCUUUGUACACACCGCCCGUCGCACCUACCGAUUGGAUGGUCCGGUGAAGCCUCGGGAUUGUGGUUCUUGCCGCUUUAUUGUGGCGUGACCGCGAGAACUUGUCUAAACCUUAUCAUCUAGAGGAAGGUGAAGUCGUAACA
rnacentral:rRNA from 1 species